UACAGAGGAGCCAAGCGUUGUCCGGAUUGACUGGGCGUAAAGCGCACGCAGGCGGACGCGCGCGUGGGGUGUGAAAUCUGGCCGCUUAACGGCCAGGCGCCAUCCCAUACGGCGCGUCUGGAGUGAUGCAGAGGUCGGUGGAAUUGCCGGUGUAGUGGUGAAAUACGUAGAGAUCGGCAGGAACACCCAGGGGGAAACCAGCCGACUGGGCAUCUACUGACGCUGAGGUGCGAGAGCGUGGGGAGCGAACCGG
rnacentral:rRNA from 1 species